rnacentral:rRNA from 1 species
AUACGGAGGGUGCAAGCGUUACUCGGAAUCACUGGGCGUAAAGGACGCGUAGGCGGUUUGGAAAGUCAGAUGUGAAAGCCUAUGGCUUAACCAUAGAACUGCAUCUGAAACUCCUAGACUAGAGUGAGGGAGAGGUCAGUGGAAUUAGUGGUGUAGGGGUAAAAUCCGUAGAGAUCACUAGGAAUACUCAUAGCGAAGGCGACUGACUGGAACUUUACUGACGCUGAGGCGUGAAAGCGUGGGGAGCAAACAGGAUUAGAAACCCCGGUAGUCC